rnacentral:rRNA from 1 species
CAUCGUGGGCGUAGGAGUCAUGAAGGGAGCUGUUCCUAGUACGAGAGGACCGGAAUGGACGCACCACUGGUGCAACUGUUGUCGUGCCAACGGCAUAGCAGGGAAGCGAAGUGCGGACGGGAUAAACGCUGAAGGCAUCUAAGCGUGAAGCCCACCUUAAGAAUAAGACUCCAAGCAGCAAUGCGAGAGACCCCCGGAAGACUACCGGGUAGAUAGGUCAUCGGUGGAAGUGCAGUAAUGUAUGUAGCUUGAUGAUACUAAUCGGUCGAUAGCUUGAUUUA